UACGGGGGGAGCAAGCGUUGUUCGGAUUUACUGGGCGUAAAGGGCGCGUAGGCGGCCAGCACAAGUCAGUUGUGAAAUCUCCGGGCUUAACUCGGAAAGGUCAACUGAUACUGUGCGGCUAGAGUGCAGAAGGGGCAACUGGAAUUCUCGGUGUAGCGGUGAAAUGCGUAGAUAUCGAGAGGAACACCUGCGGCGAAGGCGGCUUCCUGGACAAUUGCUGACGCUCAGGCACGAAAGCGUGGGGAGCAAAAGGG
rnacentral:rRNA from 1 species